GAUGAACGCUGGCGGCGUGCCUAAUACAUGCAAGUCGAGCGAAUGGAUUAAGAGCUUGCUCUUAUGAAGUUAGCGGCGGACGGGUGAGUAACACGUGGGUAACCUGCCCAUAAGACUGGGAUAACUCCGGGAAACCGGGGCUAAUACCGGAUAACAUUUUGAACCGCAUGGUUCGAAAUUGAAAGGCGGUUUCGGCUGGCACUUAUGGAUGGACCCGGGUCGCAUUAGCUAGUUGGUGAGGUAACGGCUCACCAAGGCAACGAGGCGUAGCCGACCUGAGAGGGUGAUCGGCCACACUGGGACUGAGACACGGCCCAGACUCCUACGGGAGGCAGCAGUAGGGAAUCUUCCGCAAUGGACGAAAGUCUGACGGAGCAACGCCGCGUGAGUGAUGAAGGCUUUCGGGUCGUAAAACUCUGUUGUUAGGGAAGAACAAGUGCUAGUUGAAUAAGCUGGCACCUUGACGGUACCUAACCAGAAAGCCACGGCUAACUACGUGCCAGCCGCCGCGGUAA
rnacentral:rRNA from 1 species